AACGAACGCUGGCGGCAUGCCUAACACAUGCAAGUCGAACGAGACCUUCGGGUCUAGUUGCGCUUGGGUGCGUAACGCGUGGGAACCUGCCGUUAGACUCGGAAUAACUCCCCGCAAGGGGUGCUAAUACCGGAUAAUGUAUUCGAACAAAAGAUUCAUCGCCUUUGGGUGGGCAUGCGUUGGAUUAGCUAGUUGGUAGGGUAAAAGCCGACGAAGGCGACGAUCCGUAGCUGGUCUGAGAGACUGAUCAGCCACACUGGGACUGAGACACGGCCCAGACUCCUACGGGAGGCAGCAGUGGGGAAUAUUGGACAACCGGGUAAAGCAUGAUCCAGCAAUGCCGCGUGAGUGAUGAAGGUCUUAGGGUUGUAAAGCUCUUUUACCCGGGGUGAUAAUGACAGUACCGGAAGAAUAAGCUCCGGCUAACUCCGUG
rnacentral:rRNA from 1 species